UGGGGAAUAUUGCACAAUGGCGGGAACUCUGAUGCAGCAACGCCGCGUGCGGGAUGACGGCCUUCGGGUUGUAAACCGCCUUCAGCCAUGACUAACCUUCCGUGACGGUAGUGGUAGAAGAAGCACCGGCUAACUACGUGCCAGCAGCCGCGGUGAUACGUAGGGUGCGAGCGUUGUCCGGAAUUAUUGGGCGUAAAGAGCUUGUAGGCGGUUUGUCGCGUCGAUAGUGUAAACACGCAGAUUAACUGUGUGCCUGCUGUCGAGACGGGCGGACUAGAGGAGGGUAGAGGAGAAUGGAAUUCCCGGUGGAGCGGUGGAAUACGCAGAUAUCGGGAGGAACACCAGUGGCGAAGGCGGUUCUCUGGACCUUUCCUGACGCUGAGAAGCGAAAGCGUGGGUAGCAAACAGG
rnacentral:rRNA from 1 species